rnacentral:rRNA from 1 species
UAUCUCUGUAGAGUCUGCAUAUCAAUAAGCGGAGGAAAAGAAACUAACUAGGAUUCCCUUAGUAACGGCGAGUGAAGCGGGAAGAGCUCAAAUUUGAAAUCUUCAAGGUUUUACCUUGACGAAUUGUAGUUUAAAGAAGUGUUUUCUGUUGGUGUUUUGGUAAAAGCUCUUUGGAAUAGGACAUCAUAGAGGGUGAGAAUCCCGUAUUUGACCAUUACUUCCAGCGUUGUGAUACACUUUCAAAGAGUCGGAUUGUUUGGGAAUGCAGUCCAAAAUGGGUGGUAAAUUUCAUCUAAAGCUAAAUAUUGGCGAGAGACCGAUAGCGAACAAGUACCGUGAGGGAAAGAUGAAAAGAACUUUGAAAAGAGAGUUAAACAGUACGUGAAAUUGUCAAAAGGGAAGCGUUUGACACCAGUGUUGUUUUCUCGAAAAUCAAUUAAAAAAAGUUGGAUUUUGUAUUGUUAAGACCUUAUCAGCUUACUGUACUUUUUUCAUGUCUUUUUUUAAUGCACUUUUCGUUUAACAAGUCAACAUCAAUUUCUUUUGUUGUAAAAGAGUCAUUGGAAGGUGGCUUUCACUUUCGGAUGAAAGUGUUUAUAGCCUUUGGCUUCUGCAAUCGGAGAGAUUGAGGUCUGCAGCGUAGAUCCUUCGGGGCUAGAUACGUAGAUGCUAAGUUAUAGUUUUUUAUAGACAACUUGUUGACUAUAAUUAAUCAUGUAGCUUACUCGUUUGCGCUAUUUUACCUACGCUUAGGAUGUUGAAGAUGUAGCACAUCAU